AUUGUUACAGAUCGCAGUCGGCCUUGAGUCGGCGACGGGUCCUUCAAAUGUCUGCCCUAUCAACUUUCGAUGGUAGGUGACCUGCCUACCAUGGUGAUAACGGGUAACGGGGAAUCAGGGUUCGAUUCCGGAGAGGGAGCCUGAGAAACGGCUACCACUUCCAAGGGAGGCAGCAGGCGCGCAAAUUACCCACUCCCAGUACGGGGAGGUGGUGACGAAAAAUACCGAUGCGGGACUCCUUAAAGAGGCUCCGUAAUCGGAAUGAGUGGACUAUAAAUCCUUUCACGAGGAUCAAUUGGAGGGCAAGUCUGGUGCCAGCAGCCGCGGUAACUCCAGCUCCAAUAGCGUAUAUUAAAGUUGCUGCAGUUAAAAAGCUCGUAGUUGGAUCUCGGUAGCACUGUUGCCUGUUGGUCUUUGGGUGGAUGGUUGCCGUAGCUAGCGUCGUUGUCGUUGCGUGUUACUGCGGGAUGCGGCGUUGGCUGCGGCGGCAGCUGUGCAUUCCAAGCUAGCGGGGUAGCGGUGUGACCUGUAAGCCAUGUCUGUGGUGAAAGCCGCAGGUGUGAGCGAGUGUCGGGCGACGUCCUGCGGUAGUGGGGCUUGUCGGCUCGUUUGCAUGCCUUUGGAUGCCCUUAAAAAGGUGUCUGUGGGCGGAUGGCACGUUUACUUUGAACAAAUUUGAGUGCUCAAAUCAGGCCGAUGUUGCCUGAAAAGUUUUGCAUGGAAUAAUGGAAUAGGACUUCGGUUCUAUUUCGUUGGUUUUCGGAUCCGAAGUAAUGAUCAAAAGAGACAGGCGGGGGCGUUUGUAUGGCUGCGCUAGAGGUGAAAUUCAUGGACCGUAGCCAGACAAACUAAAGCGAAAGCAUUCGUCAAGCAUGUUUUCAUUGGCCAUGAGCGAAAGUCAGAGGCUCGAAGACGAUCAGAUACCGUCCUAGUUCUGACCAUAAACGAUGCCAACUGACGAUCCGUGGUGGUAGUCUGUCAACCUUCCCCACGGGCAGUCCCCGGGAAACCUUUAAGUCUUUGGGUUCCGGGGGAAGUAUGGUUGCAAAGCUGAAACUUAAAGGAAUUGACGG
rnacentral:rRNA from 1 species